rnacentral:rRNA from 1 species
UGGGGAAUAUUGCACAAUGGGGGAAACCCUGAUGCAGCGACGCCGCGUGAGCGAAGAAGGUUUUCGAAUCGUAAAGCUCUGUCCUAUGGGAAGAAAAUGACGGUAUCAUAGGAGGAAGCCCCGGCUAAAUACGUGCCAGCAGCCGCGGUAAUACGUAUGGGGCGAGCGUUGUCCGGAAUUAUUGGGCGUAAAGGGUACGUAGGCGGUCUAUUAAGUCAGGUGUGAAAGCGUGAGGCUUAACCUCAUUAAGCACUUGAAACUGAUAGACUUGAGUGAAGGAGAGGAAAGUGGAAUUCCUAGUGUAGCGGUGAAAUGCGUAGAUAUUAGGAGGAAUACCGGUGGCGAAGGCGACUUUCUGGACUUUUACUGACGCUCAGGUACGAAAGCGUGGGGAGCAAACAGG